AGGAGGAAUAGAAGAAGAAAGAAGAAGAUCGAAGAAACAGCAUAAUCUCCUUCACUCCAAACUCAAACAUAAGCACAAGUUGUUAUAGUUCCCUGUUCUGUUUGGUGAUUCGUGGCAGCCAUGGAUGUCUCUUUUUCAUUAUCUACAACCUCCGCCACCUAUCUGCGUCCAUCCACAGGUCAAUCUCUAACACCUUUUGUCUCCUUUUUGCGAUCACGAAAAAAUUUGAAAAAAAAAAAAACAGAUUCUUGUAUUAAACACAAAAAAAAUUGUACUAUUCCAAAACUUAUUCGUGGUUAAUUGUAGCACAGGAAAAGCUCGAUUUGUUUUAAUUUUAAAAUAUCGAACGUGCAAAUCCUCUCUGAUGCUGUCGAUAUGUUUUAAGCACAGGCCUGUGUUCGAUUUCUAUCUGUUUUAUGUUGUCUACGGAUUAAAAAUGUUGUGAUUUUCCAGAGGCAUUCUA
rnacentral:lncRNA from 1 species